AAGAUGAGGCCUCCCACCGGGUUAACCGGGUAAGGCCGCAGGGAGACUACCUGCUCGAUAGGCCGGAGGUGUAAGCCCCGCAAGGGGUUGAGCUGACCGGUACUAAUGGCCGAGGGCUUGGCCCCGCC
rnacentral:rRNA from 1 species